GCACUCUCCGCUUUCGUCAGCCGUCGCCGCGUCGCAGUCGCAACAAUAGUUGUUCUGGCCGCAGAGCCCAGACAGGCAUUCGUCGUUGUUGCCCCAACACCGUGAGCCCGCAUUGCCCUUCGCUCUGCAAUCGUAGGUACCAUCUCGGUACUGCGUUGCGCUGUCACAUAUCUGCCUGCAUCUGCCGUAAUAGAUCUCAUAACCCUCAUCGCACUCUGUACAAAAGGCCGAUUCUGCUGCAUCGCACUGUGUGCAGUUCUGCAUGCCGUUGCUCCAUCGAUCGGCAAAGCAACACACUCCGCCGGCACACAUUUUAUGGUUGUAGCAAUCGGAGUCCGAGCUGCAGCUCUCGCCUGCAUUCUUCAAGGUGGAGCAAGCCCCGUUGCCUGAUGUGCAAAUUCCGCAGCCCUGAGCCACUGCUGUGUCGCUACAGCAAUAGUUCCCUUUGCAACUGUUUGACAGGCAUUCGUCGUUGUUGCCCCAACACCGUGAGCCCGCAUUGCCCUUCGCUCUGCAAUCGUAGGUACCAUCUCGGUACUGCGUUGCGCUGUCACAUAUCUGCCUGCAUCUGCCGUAAUAGAUCUCAUAACCCUCAUCGCACUCUGUACAAAAGGCCGAUUCUGCUGCAUCGCACUGUGUGCAGUUCUGCAUGCCGUUGCUCCAUCGAUCGGCAAAGCAACACACUCCGCCGGCACACAUUUUAUGGUUGUAGCAAUCGGAGUCCGAGCUGCAGCUCUCGCCUGCAUUCUUCAAGGUGGAGCAAGCCCCGUUGCCUGAUGUGCAAAUUCCGCAGCCCUGAGCCACUGCUGUGUCGCUACAGCAAUAGUUCCCUUUGCAACUGUUUGACAGGCAUUCGUCGUUGUUGCCCCAACACCGUGAGCCCGCAUUGCCCUUCGCUCUGCAAUCGUAGGUACCAUCUCGGUACUGCGUUGCGCUGUCACAUAUCUGCCUGCAUCUGCCGUAAUAGAUCUCAUAACCCUCAUCACACUCUGUACAAAAGGCCGAUUCUGCUGCAUCGCACUGUGUGCAGUUCUGCAUGCCGUUGCUCCAUCGAUC
rnacentral:lncRNA from 1 species